UUUGGUUCAUCAUAAUUCGUAAUGAUUUCAGUUGGCGUGAACAGUGAGGAGCUCAUCUUUGGCAACAGAAUCAAUAUAUUUUAGGUAGUAAUUCUUCUAUCAAGGGAAUAAAAUUAUUGAGAAUUGUAUAGUCCAAAAAUAGAUUUAAAUUCUCUCUUAUUUAAACUGUACCAUUAUUAUUGUAAAUCAAUGAAGAAAAAAGAAUAUAAUCCUUCAUGGUAUCAGAGCAUGGUACUCGGUCCAGCAGCCUCUAUUUUGUUCUAACCGUGCUAUCUUGAGCAUUUAUUCAAACACAUGGAAGGCACCAAUGAUGUUGGGAGUCCUAGCCACGUACCACCCGAAACCAACACUCUCUUCCUAGAAUUUAUAGUAAAGAUGACUGAAGCUCUGAACAAAGCACAGACACCAACCUCAACUACUGAAUCUUCAUCCCAAAUCGGCAUCAAAUUGGAUGGUUCCAAUUAUGCCCUAUGGUCUCAAUUUAUGGAGAUGAAUAUUGCUGGAAAAGAUAAACUUGGCUACCUGAAUGGAGAUAUCCCUCCUCCACCACCGACCGAUGGAACCUUUCGCAGUGGCGCACGAAAAACGCCAUUGUCAAAGGCUGGAUCAUAAACUCGUUGGACCACUCUCUCAUUGGCAACUUCAUCUAGUUCUCCAGUGCACAGGAAGUUUGGGAUGCAAUUGUAACUACCUUUUUUUAAUGGGAAUGACACUUCACAAGUGAAUGAACUCCGGCGAAGAGUGGCACGGUUAAGACAAGCAGGCGGCUCCAUUGAGAAAUACUACAUUGCUUUACAAUGGUUGUGGCGUGAAAUCGAUUUUUGCCGUUCCAAUCCGAUGGUUUGCGCCAAAGACAUCCAGAAUUAUAAUAAAUUGGUACAAGAGGAUCGAGUUUAUACCUUUUUGGAUGGCCUCGAUGAUAGGCUCGACAACAUCAGGGCAAGUAUUUUACAGAUGAAACCAUUUCCCUCAAACAAGCUUAUGCACAUGUCCGUCGGGAGGCCCUUCGACAAGCAGUGAUGACCACAGAUGCCGACAAUUCUCCAGGAGCAGUUUUAGCUACAAAAGGGUUGAAACUUGGACGUUCUUGUCUGGGCUCUAGAAAGUAAGUUGACUUUAAUAAAAUCAAGGAAACGGGUGUGAUUGAAAAGUGCUCUUACUUAGGAAAUUCUAAACACACACGUGAAAACUGCUUUAAGCUCAAUGGAUACCCGGAGUGGUGGAACAAACUACAAGAAAAAAUGAAUAAGGAGGAUGAUGGCACUGAUAUUCGAACAGCCAAAGCAGCAGUGGCAACGGCAGAGCCACAAUUGUCCCUAAUCUCUCAUAAUGACCCCUCACAAGAUAAGAACACUAUUUCGAGUCUAGGAAACGUUGGUUCAAUACUUAUUACGCAUCCUAGUGACAAGAAUAAUGAUGGAUGGUUGCUUAACUCUAGGGCCAUCGAUCAUAUGACAUAUGAUGCUAAUGACUUUGUUCGGUCAGCCCUUCCUCGAUGCACUAGUCUCGCGAAUGCUAAUGGGGAUAUUUC
rnacentral:lncRNA from 1 species